rnacentral:tRNA from 1 species
GGAUCCAUAGCUCAGUUUGGUUAGAGCGUUACAUUGACAUUGUAAAGGUCAGAGGUUCGAGUCCUCUUGGGUCCACAA